CCUACGGGAGGCAGCAGUGAGGAAUAUUGGUCAAUGGGCGCGAGCCUGAACCAGCCAAGUAGCGUGAAGGAUGACUGCCCUACGGGUUGUAAACUUCUUUUAUAAAGGAAUAAAGUGAGGCACGUGUGCCUGUUUGUAUGUUAUUUAUGAAUAAGGAUCGGCUAACUCCGUGCCAGCAGCCGCGGUAAUACGGAGGAUCCGAGCGUUAUCCGGAUUUUUUGGGUUUAAAGGGAGCGUAGAUGGGUUGUUAAGUCAGUUGUGAAAGUUUGCGGCUCAACCGUAAAAUUGCCAUUGAUACUGGCAGUCUUGAGUAAAGUUGAGGUAGGCGGAAUUCGUGGUGUAGCGGUGAAAUGCUUAGAUAUCACGCAGAACCCCGAUUGCGAAGGCAGCUUACUAAACUGUGACUGACAUUGAUGCUCGAAAGUGUGGGUAUCAAACAGGAUUAGAUACCCGGGUAGUC
rnacentral:rRNA from 1 species